rnacentral:tRNA from 1 species
UUUUAAUAGCUUAUACAGAGUAUAAUAUUGAAGAUAUUAUGGAAGAAUUUUUCUUUAAAAUAU